GCCCAGGCCCGGGAGUGGGCUGUGGAGCGGCUGCCACGGGGCUGGCGGCUUAACUAGUGACGGGAGCGUGGGGAAAGCCCAGCCACCGCCGCUCGGUUCCGCUAGCCGCGCCUAAUCGCUCAGCCGCCCUGCAGGUUUUAAAAAAAAAAAAACAAGAAAAAAAUUCUGAAUGACUCGUAACCGCCACCACCCAGUCCCUGCUUACCGCAGGAAGCUACCUUGCAGUGCGGCGGGCAGGGACACUCCCUUAUCUGGAAGCUCCACAUCCCGUAGCUUCUCGCCCCACCCGCUGCAAAAAAGGGGCCGCCGUCCCCCAAGACCUGUCCGGCAGACAGCUGCAGGGAUGUGCUCGCUCCCGGAGCGGCGCUCGGGAAGCAGCCGGAGUUGUGUGCCCAGCGUCGGGGUGCGGGGACGAAAGAGCUAGCGGGUGCCCAGGUUGUAGGGGGCCUGGCGAGCACCACCCCUGUCCCGGCCCGUCUUCCUCCUCUAGCUUGGCUCCCGGGGCCGGGUGACUGCAGACCGAAAACUCCUCGCCCCGGAGCGUCCCCCGGGAGGGGAGGGGAA
rnacentral:lncRNA from 1 species